GCGAACCUUGCUCCUGGCUGUCACCCCAGGGUCCCCUCUGUGCCCCACAGCCCUCUGUGUGUCCCAGUUAUGACCCCCCGCAGUGAUUGUCUGUUGUUCUCCUCCUACUAGGGUAUGAGCAUCAGGGGGCAGGACUUGCAUCUGUCUUGUUUCUGGAACGUUCCGGAUGCCUGGCACAGAACUUGGCAGAGUAGGCGCUCCUUAAAGAUCUGUUGAACUGUCAUUCAGCGCAUAAACAAUCUGUUCAACACAUAUUUUUGCACAGCCUCUGCUGUGCCAGGCACGAAGCUAGGCGCUGGGGCAACAUUCCCUGAACCAAACAAAAAGCCUUGCUCUUGGAGCGUUUAGGUUCUCGCAAGGGAAAGCCACACUGUCCUAGGUUGGUUCUGGCAGAAACAGACCCUGAGGCUGGGAUCUGAGCGCUGACAGGACGCACCGGUAGGGAGAAGCAGAAGUGAGACAGAAAAGCGAGAGAAGCCACACAAGGAAGUGAAACAGCGGGUGACCGCUGUGGGCACCGGGCUCAGCUCCGAGGAGUUCUGGGGGACGGUGUCCCACCUGAGAGCGAGGAAGAUGGGGGUACUGAUCCAUCGCCUCCCAUUCUUCUGCCGCUCAGGGCUGCUCCUGGCCUGGCCCACCUGCAGGCUGAGCUGCUCCUGCCCCCAGAUGCGGGUCUUCAGGCAGCGUCUCGGGUGCCUGCAGCGAGCAGCCACGGGCAGGACAGAGAGAGAGCCGGAGAGCAGCGAGGGCUACGGGCGAGCCACAUAUGCAGUAAACAAGAACCACGAAGAAUAAGUAAAACGUGUCCCAGCCAAUAGCAUCCAGAUUGAUCCUAAACUUAAUGAAGACUGAGCCAAGGCCAGCAGAACUUUUUCCAUCUAUAAACGUGACAUCAGACUGUAGCCCCAGGCCUCAUUCUCGGCCCAAGGGCGAGAAUCCCAAAGUUGUGUCUGCCGCUGCCCCAUGCGAUUGCUUACUUCAGCCACGUAGAUCAGGAAGACCUCAUUCAUUUCAUUCGUUCAACAACGAUUCGGUUCCUUUCACGUGCUUGGUAUUGUUCUAGCAGCCCGGAUUUUAGCGGUGGACAAAACGGUGUCUGCUUUCACGGAGCUUACAUUCUGGUGGAGAGGGGUGGUGUAGAAUAAACAGAUAAAAGUGUUGAAUAACGUCAGGUGGAAGAAAACCAAAACCAAGCAUGGAGUGGGGAUGGGUGGCCACUUUCGCCAGAGUGGCCAGGGUGGCUUCUCUGAUGCGGUGGCGCUGGAGCAGAGACUUGUACAAAGGGACAAAGCAAACCCCGCAAGGGCCUGGGGAACCGCCUUUUAGGCAGAGAGAAGAGCCGGUGCCACUGUCCCGAGCGAGGAGCGGGCUCAGCACAUGCGCAGAAGGGCGGGAUGACCACGCGGCUGGAGCAGUGCGUCAGGGGACCCGGUAGAGGACCAGGGCGGAGCGCUGCGGGUUACACCCCAACUCCCGAGGGCCAGGAAGAGGGACAUGCGACCGUGGUCUCUGCACUUAAUGUGUUUGAGGUUCUGCUGGAAGCCUGCACUUUGAGACAAUGGAGCUGGAAAUGAGGCUGUUAAAGGGGCCACUUGUGCCCACUCAGCAACACCCUCGGAGGGGUCAAGCAGGCCCACGCCGUCACACUCACUGAGGAUGUCUCUCUGCAGAAGUGCUUCUGGCCUCAGAAUCAUUGUUUUCAAAACUGAAGCACUUUUGGGCUCCAGCCAUCCGCUCCUCCCUCCCUUCUGCCAACUAGUGAUUACGCGUGUGGGAUGAACUGAGACGCCAACCAGGAAACUAAGACGCCCAGAAACCUCAAGGCCAAGAGGACGUGGAGGAGCCUGAACUGGGGGCUGCAGGGCAUCGACACCCACCCCCUCGAGAUGACCUAGCUCAGUGGUCCUCACACCUGAGCGAGCCUUAGUGUCACCUGGAGCAUGUGUUGAAACACAGAGGACUGAGCCCUGCCCCAGAGAGUUUCUGAUCAGCAGAAACUCUCAGGCCCUAUCUAUGACUAUCAUCUCCGCCUGCUCCGUGGGGUUGACUUUGGCUCAUGGGACUCCUAACUCGUGUGUCUGACCACUCUGUCCACAGCCAGCAUCCGGGGUAGCACCAGUCACUCCUUCCCGGGCUCCUUCAGCAUGUUGCGAGAGCCUGUUUAGCAUGGUGGUCCAGAGGCCUGGUUCCAGAUGUCCAGAACCUGGUCUGGCCAUGAGAAGUUCUGUCACGUUGACCAAAUUAUGUCCCCUCUCUAGGCCUCAGUUUCCUCAUUUAUAAUAUGUCAGCGAUGUCUUCGCCAACCUGGAUUUGCAUGGCUCCCUUUCCUCCUUCAUCACAUAUUAUAGUAAUAUAGUAUAAUAUAAUGUAGUGCUUUAUGACAUAGCGCUGUGCGGUGGAGAUGACGAUGGCUCCCUCCUCCUGGAUUUGCUAGGAGGAGCAGGGAGUUAGUCUGCCCUCAGAACAGCGCCCGGGACAGAGGAGAUGCUGAGUUCCUCUCGGCUCGAGUUGUUCUGGGCCAUUCGGGUGAACCCUCAGGUCUGUUACAGCCUCCUUAUUUGUACCCAAGGUGGACUGGACAGCCCAUAACAGAGUCACCUUGGUACUUGUUAAAGAGAAGAAUUUCCGCCCCACUCAGGCCUCUGGGAUCAUAAUGGGGGUGGGGGCGGACUCCAGAUUUCUCAUUUUUUACUAGUGUCUCUGGGUGAAUUUUCCCCUGGGAGAGUCUGAGGCUUGAGUGCAAGCGCUUGAGCUGGCCGACCCCGGGUCUGGAUCCACCUGAGGCACUCAGUUACUGAGUGGCCUUGAGCAGGGCGCUUGUCUAGGACCCCCGGGAACCUCAGGUGUUAAAGCAUCCAAGGGGUGCAGACCCCCAGCUGCCGUGCCCAGCGCAGGGAGCCUCACCCUGGUGCUCGUGUGCCGGGAGGGCUCCACAACUUGGCUGGGGCCUCCAGGCUGCUCUGCCUCCUCCAGAAGACCAAGCUCCCCACACCCCUGACACCAGACCAGGCGCCUUGUUGGCACAGUCAGAACGGGCCUCAGAUUCACCCAGGUGAAGGACUCGCUCCUCCCUGGGCUCCGUCUGUUAGUGUGGCCUCUUCUUUCUCUGCCUUCCGAUGCUGCAGCGUUAUCAGCAUCCUGUGUGUGAGACCCCACGUGAGGAGCCUGAUGGGGCAGCAGAGCUGGGUUAGUGGAGGAAACAGAACUACACGGAAAUGUUACAUGUACCCUCCCGUUAUAAGCGCCUUCUUCAGAAAAGCAUGCUUUCUUCAUGUUUGGACUCUAGUUAAUCUUUUAAAGUUAUUUGUAGAGUGGUGGCUGCCUGGCGCGAACACUCGACUCACAGCUGGAGCUCCAGCAAUGGUGCUGAGGGGUCUCAUUUGAGCCUGGAAUGGUGACUAGCAUCCUAGUUUUAUCGUUGGAUGAAGUGGCCUGUCCAUGCAUGCCCAGCCAGAUACUGGCAUGGCCUAGAUCAGAACGCGGAUGUUGAGGUCACUUCUCCGAUGAUCCAGCCAGGAGAAGGGCCCAGGGAGGGGCCUGGCACCGGGAACACCAACAGCGGGAAUUCACCGGAGAAUGAGAUGGUUUCGGUCAGAGGGACUUGCCUUAGACAGGUUCUGGCGCCUGGCUAAGUCACGUGACCUCUCAGGCUCUGCUUUCCCAUCUCUAAAAUGGGAGGAGGAGGUUUUAGCUACUUAGCAGGUCAUUCACAUUAGGUAGGACCACGUGUACAAAGCACUUGGCCCACAGCAGGGCCUAGCAAAUGUUGGUGUCCCCCUUGUCACCCACCCCAAAGGAUGGAGGGUGGCCUCCGUGCCUCACACUCCUGCAUCCCGGCCCCGCCCAGCCUCUGCUGGCUUUGGCGGCAUGAUGAAUGCAUUCUCCGCACUGUACUGAAGACUGACGUGAAUCAAAGAGCACAAAACAGCUCCUUUGUUCCCCAGAUUUUGCAAGAGAGAGACAUCUUAAAUUCUCAGUUGCGGUCUCCCUGGCACACCCUGACUGGUUUCCCGGAGAACAAACGACAAAGCUGAUUGCCACUUCACAGAGGGGAGGCGGAAAGGGAAAAUAGGACGCACACUUUGUUAAGGCUUUUCAAAUGUCAGUGCCUUAGCAUCAGGGAGCUGCAAGCUAGGGGCCCUAUUGGGAUUCUGCUUCCGGGAGAUUUCAUGCCUUCAUUUUGCUCGUUUAAAUUCUGCAUUUCAGCCUGCUCUGCCUCUAUUGAUCUGCUUCAGUCUGAUAUUCCUAAACUGAGUAGCUCUAAUUGGCUCAGAAGGAUGGCUGCAAGGUAAACACUCUCCACAGGCUGGCACCCUUUGGGGACUGUCUAUGGGGGCGCUGGACUUUAACCAAGGAGAGCAUGGAAAGGGCACAGCUUCGGAGACAGACAGGCACGUGUCAUCCUCUGCAUGACCUUGGGCAAUACUGGGCCCCUCUGAGCCUCAGUUUCCCUGCUCACAAAAUGGAGAUGAUGUUUGUGACUGCCUAAGGUCACUGCGGGGAUAAGCAGGGUCAGAUGUGGUGGCACAAUGACGCAGAAAUUUUUGACAGUGAGCCACUGUAUUCUCGCAAAAAAUUUUACUGAGCCAAAGAAAUGUAUGAGCACUGAGAUGCCAGGUAGCACGAUGGCUCUGUGAGCAACACAGUGCUGGUGACAUCUGUUGUCAGAUUUCAGAGAUUCACUGCUUCCUCCAGGUCCUUACAAAUCCAGCCCUUGUUCCUG
ensembl:lncRNA